rnacentral:rRNA from 1 species
ACUCCUGCGGGAGGCAGCAGUGGGGAAUAUUGCACAAUGGGCGCAAGCCUGAUGCAGCCAUGCCGCGUGUAUGAAGAAGGCCUUCGGGUUGUAAAGUACUUUCAGCGGGGAGGAAGGCGAUAAGGUUAAUAACCUUGUUGAUUGACGUUACCCGCAGAAGAAGCACCGGCUAACUCCGUGCCAGCAGCCGCGGUAAUACGGAGGGUGCAAGCGUUAAUCGGAAUUACUAGGCGUAAAGCGCACGCAGGCGGUCUGUCAAGUCGGAUGUGAAAUCCCCGGGCUCAACCUGGGAACUGCAUUCGAAACUGGCAGGCUAGAGUCUUGUAGAGGGGGGUAGAAUUCCAGGUGUAGCGGUGAAAUGCGUAGAGAUCUGGAGGAAUACCGGUGGCGAAGGCGGCCCCCUGGACAAAGACUGACGCUCAGGUGCGAAAGCGUGGGGAGCAAACAGGAUUAGAUACCCCGGUAGUCCCAUGA